CGAGUGUGAAGGAGCCCCUGGCUUCUCAGGGCACAGCAGCAACACACAAAGAACACAAAAGGAACCUCAGAAGAUUCCUGGGUGAACGAUUCAGGUGCCAUCCCGUGGGCACGGCGGUGCUGAUUCUGCUGCUCCUGGUGCUGGUGCUGGCUUUGGGGGCGGCCUUGGCUGUGCAGUCAGCAGCACCACAGGUUCCAC